rnacentral:lncRNA from 1 species
GGUGUACCUGGAUGUUGCAUCUCAUUUGCAUUUAAAAUUUUUCAAGAAGUGUUUGAGCAAAAGCUUUAAGUUUCAAAGAUGUAAUCUGGAGUGAAAUUCUUCUUAGAGAGGUAAGUAUUUAUAAUCUUUUAAAUUUCUAAUUUUACGUGUAAUUUUAGGUUAUUAAUUGAAUGGUUUUGUGUACAUUAUCCUGAAAACUGUGAACAGUACAGAUUCAAUGUUAUAUAGUUGCUGUUUUCGUUAAAUCUCAUGCACAAAACUUCAUAGCUUAUUAAACUAGACAUAUUUAGCUUUCCAUCCAUAUGCUUAUUGUCCAAAAACUCAUUGCAUAUUAAUUGUUUUGAUUUUUCAAAGUUGGAAUACUAGUACUAGAAAAUUUCAAUUUUCAGCAGCAAUCCUCAAUUCUAUAAUUUAUUUUGUAAUCGAAACGACUUCCGAAAAUUUCUGGAAAAUUUUAUUACUAUAUAUCUACAUGUCUAGUUUUUGCGUAUUUAAUUUCGUAAUUGUUGGAUUUAUAUUAAAAUCAUUAAAAAUCAUAGAGCUGGGCUGUCGCAAUCUUGGAAACUGCUUUCUGGGAUGAUAUUGAAGCUAAUUUUAAUUACGUUUUCAUUAGAAAAUGCUUUAAAAAUUUUAAUUCUGAUUCCAUAUUGUCUCCUCUGAUGAUCAAAACUUGAAUCACUAUUUUUGAACACAUAUAACUAAAAUUAUGAAUUUUUGAAUCAACAGUCCUCUGUUUAUUUUGUCACUGAACGAUUUUAAUGUUUUUGUGGAAAAUUAGUUUUUUUCGGAAAUGUUUAUGAACUCUAAUUAAUUUUGUUAACAUUUAUAUUUUAUGCCAACAUGUUUACAGUAGCUUUUAAUAAUUGUGAUUUUCCGACAAUAGUUAUAGCUUGUUAGAAAUCAGCUCCUAUAAGAUGGUCGAGGGUAGUUUGGGGAAUUGAUUUGUUUAGGUUAGGUUUAAUGGUUUAAGGAUGUUCGUAUCUUAUGAAGAUCAGAUUUGAAUAUGAUAUUGAUAAGAAUCUCAUCUUGAAAAUUAUAGGGCAAGAGUGAGCUCAUGUAUCUGGGGUUUUUAUUCGUUGCUUCGGAUCGAGAUAAGUGGAUUCAUGCAUAACGUUUAUUAUAUAUAUAUGUAUGAAUUUGUGUAUGAAAAGAAUAAUGUUGUUCACAAGGAUUGGCAUAUUUAUAGUUUUGAAGUAUUUUUGUUGUUAUAGUUUAAAAUAAUGAUUUACAUUUUGGUUUAAAGUUUAUUUAAAAAUGUUUUCUUAAAUUGUUUUAAAAACAUGGCUUUAAAAUACUUGUGUUCCAUAAAUUGUUUUUCCUUAAAAUAAUUUGUAAAGCUUUGCCAAUUAAAUGUCUUAUAAGAGAUUUUGUUGAUCGAUUAUUGAACGAUUGGUAUUGAAAGAUUCAAAAUUAUUUUAAGGUUUUAGCUCAUUGUCCAUAGUUUCUGUUACUGAUAUGACUGAACAAUUAACUGUAUUGUGCGCACCUAUUGAUAAUUAUUGUGGGGUAAAGUACCCUGAUUGAACUACCGGCCGGGUCACCGGGAGUACAGAUGAGGCAUGAGCAAAAUUAAACAAAUGAAGAUUUUAUUAAUGAAUGAUUAUUUAUUGAAAAAUGGUCAUUAUGUUAUGACAUAAUUGAUUUUAAAUUUUAUCGUACAUAUGUAUUAGAAUAUAAAAUGAUUAUUAUUUCAAAUUCAUGGCACUUAAUAAUUAUUAGUAUUUACUUUAUCGUUAUUAGUAACCUUAUGUAUGAGUUUACUUACCGAGUUAACGGUUCAUCCCUCGUCUCCAACAUUUUGCAGAGUGAUGUUAGAGAUGUGGACUUUUUGGGUUUUAGAGAAGAAGAUUUGUUACCAGUAAGCUUUGGGCAUUUUCGUGAUGGAUAAAUUGUUGCUAUUUGGGUUAUUAUUUUAAAACUGAAUUUGGUAUUGGAGGAUUAUUGUUAUAUUUAUUGUUUAGAGACUAUGCUUCGACCUUGGACAUUAUGGAUUUUCUUUUGGGAAUAGUAAUAAGAAUUAACUGUUUAGAGAUUGCAUUUCAAAUUUCUUUUAGAAAUCUUGGGAAAUUUGGGGUGUUACACUAACAGUGAAAAUGAAGUUGAAAAUAGGAAUUGAUAGGAAACAUUACAUGAAAUGGAAUUGAAAGUAGGUUUAUAUCCAGUAAAUUAAUGGGUAACUAUUUUAGAAAGUAUGAGCAUUUAUGUUAUAGUUUUGACCAUG